CUUCUUUAAAAGAAUAUGCCAGAGGACAUUAACGUUACCUUGAUAACUCCAGGAUUUUCAAAGUCAAAUAUUUUGCUCUCUUAUAUUACUUUGAUAUCCUUAAGAAAUCUUAAAACAUAGGCUACUGUGACAAAAGUCUUUAGAACAGAGGACUUUUAUAUUUCUCAACUUUUUAAAAAAUUUUUUUUAGUUUUAAGUUUUCUUGUUAAAGUUUACAGAAACUCUGCUUUCCCUGCACACCCUCACCACUCAUCUUAUAUUCAGCUGUGAGCUUUUAAAGUCCUGACAUCCUUUAUUAAGCAAAGGCAAAUACAAACACACAGUGGUUCCCCAUCUUGGCCCUGAUUGUAACCACCUGAGAACCUUAACAUCCACGGGGCAGCCCCCUCUUCAGACCCUAGAAUUUAUCAUUUAAUUGCCCAGGACAUGAGUUGGUUUUGUGUUUUUUUGUUCCCAGGUGAUUCUAAUAGGCACCUCAUGUGGAAAACUACUCACAGGGUUUAACAAAGAAAACAUUUGGAAUAACCCAAACUUUCCUCCGUUUUGGGGGUGACUAUUCAAGCAGCCUUGCCUCUUGCUCUUCGAUUGGCUCUCCCAUUAGUGUCCUUCCCUUGAGCAUGGCUGUCCUCACCCCGACUCAGCCCCAAAGUUUUGAGGCUCCCAUUAAAAAUUCCAGACCAAGAACAGGCAAGCUUCAUUCUCUUUCUUUUCCUUUAGUACAAGAAUAUUAGAGCUGCAAGGGCUCUUGAAAAAAUAAUCUAAAUCAACCCCCUUAUUUGCAGGUGAGAGAUUCCAGGCAGGGAAGUAACGUGCCUGACAUCCAUGGAACCAGUUCCUCCCAGAGGUGGCACUGCUGACUCUCCGUUCACAGCCACUUACACUACCGUCCCUGCAGAAAUGGGGUGCUACAGAGAAUGUCCUUAGCAAACUUUCAGAGACAAGGCUAUUUUAGAGUGCAAGAGCAAAAACCCAUUCAACCCGGCAAAAAUCACAGAGUCUUAGAAAGAAUCAGGAUCUUACAGAGCUCCAGUCAGGCCUCAUUGGGAACUGGAACCAGCAAUUGGAAAAGCAGCAGGAACCUAGACAGUUAUUGUCCCUCGUGUGGGUGUGUGUAUUUGUCUCCAGGCUACUUUCUCUCUGCUUCCCUUUGCACAUGAAGCUGCAGGAGCAGGAACCUGGUCAGCCCUUUCGGUCAGGUGUCCACCCCUUCUCCCUCCAGGAACGAGCAGGGAGCGGAGCCAGUUGUAGAAACAUGGGAAGAAAGUUUGAGGACGGUGGCUAACUGCCGCCGGGGACCUACGUCAGAGCUUGAACUGACCUCCCCUCAAGGGUUCUCAUAUGGGCACAGAACCUAGAGCUCAUUCAGUGCAACGCCCUCAUGUUCCUGGGUGUCUGUCACCGGUUCUGUGUCUACUGAUGCGCAGGCAUAAAUCUCCAAUUUUUCAACAACUUAUUUACAGAAAGAAUCGCGAAGCCGCUGACCUCAGACUCGCAUCUCUGAGGAACCUGACUUUGGACUUUAGCCUACGUGUUAAACCUCAGGAAAUUUUAUACAUGAGCAAGGAACACAGGACCCAAGACAAGCAGACUGAUCGUCAAGCCGCUGUCUCAAUUUUUUUAAAUGUUCUUGAGAACAUUUGACGUGUUCUUCGAGCCAAAGCAAUAGCUUCUUAUUUGGUGAGCAUGUUUUUUGAGACAAUACGAGGCUCGACUUUAAAAUUUACCCAAAUAAAAGUGUGUAUGCAUGUCUGUUAAUUCCUAAUGUCAUUCUUCUUUCAUAUAUAUUUUUUGCAUAAUUUUCAGCUAUUCUGCACGAAUUAAAACUGGUUAGUUUUUCCUUCUUUUCAUUACUGUUCCAGCCUUCUUAGGAUGAGCUCUAUUACAUAAAAAGGAUUGCGCUUUACUUUUCCUUCUACUCUGGAUCUGUAUCUCUGAAACUGUUCAUGUAGACUUUGGGCCAAUGACUGAUUAUUCCAUAGAGAAGCUGGGUCACAAAAAAUAUUGAUUACAGAUCACAUAGACUUGUGUGACUCAUAGGAGGUGGUGUAAAAGAAAGCUAAGUGGGGAAAAUUCUUGUUUUC
ensembl:lncRNA